rnacentral:misc_RNA from 1 species
GGGGCGUGUGAGUGGUGUUUGGGUUGUCUCUGCCGGUUGGCUCCGUGCUCGUCCACCGAACGGUCGGCAGGCAAUCCGCGUCGGUUGUUGCGAGGUGGGAUGGUGCCUCAGAGGCUGGUUCUUGCGUUGCUUACCCCUUGAAGGGAAGCAGGCCGCUUGCAAGCUAGCCUCCAUCCGGCGCCUUCUCACGGGCGCCGGAGGACAACGAAGCGCCCCCCGUGUUCCACCGAGCCUCUGUCGGUCGCGUGGCCCGCGGGGAAGUGCGAUGCUCUCGGACCCAGCGCAUGCCGUGGACGAGGACUCAUGUCCCGGUCCCUAAGAAGGAGCUUUUAACAUAGCGUGUGACGGCCGGUCUCGGCCCUUCGCCGCCCCGGCGGCGCGGGGGGGACGCGCGACGUCUUGGAGGAAUGCUACCUGGUUGAUCCUGCCAGUAGUCAUAUGCUUGUCU